UAUUCCUUCAAAAACCGAGUGAUGUUCAUAUUUGCCCCUUUGUUUUGUUAUCGUUAGCUCACUAUUUUUUUUUAACAGAAGGUAAGUAAAAUGUCACUUUUGUCAUCACUAUAUGUCCCUCCAAAAGCCACAACUGUUAGAAUCGUGUCGAAGUGUCCUCCUAAAAAAUUUCUAAUUAUCAUCUUUUUCCUCUAUAAAAACUAACCCAAUCUACCAUUGUUGUAAUAUCUUCUCUACCUCUUCUUUCACUUUUUUUUUUUUCCUUUACCUAUGUAUUACUAGUUCCCCGGCACUCAACAUGGGCGAAAUAACAUGCGUGGUGGAUGAAUGGGAAUGGAGAAACUCUAGUUACGACAGCAAAACUAGCAUGAAGAAGAUUAAAAGGAAGAAGAGAGUUUUCAUUGCCAGGGAUUUGAUCGAAUUAAAAUUUUGAUUAAGAGAAAAGGUAUCAUAUCAAAGGGGUAAAAAGGUCAAUUUACCUCACUUAUUAAUCAAGGUUAAGUAUUUUAUUUAUGGUUAACUAUAUUUUUUAACGGACACUGUUAAAAUCGGAACGGCGAAAAAUAGAUCCAGAAAAUAAUUUAAUGCAAGAAAAGAAAAGAUAAGCGGAAAGAACACACCGAUAAUUACGUGGUUCGGCCAACGGCCUACGUCCACGGGCGAAGACGGAGUAAAUAUUUUAUUAAUGUCGAAAAGGCGGAGUACAAAGAAUAUCUCUCAAAAGAACCCAAAGCUUAAUUAGAUCCGAAACGCCGCAACA
rnacentral:lncRNA from 1 species